rnacentral:rRNA from 1 species
GAUGAACGCUGGCGGCGUGUUUAACACAUGCAAGUCGAACGAAGCACUUAAGAUUGAUUCUUCGGAUGACGUCUUUUGUGACUUAGUGGCGGACGGGUGAGUAACGCGUGGGUAACCUGCCUCACACAGGGGGAUAACAGUUAGAAAUGACUGCUAAUACCGCAUAACCCGAUAGGAUCGCAUGAUCCAGACGGAAAAGAUUUAUCGGUGUGAGAUGGACCCGCGUCUGAUUAGCUAGUUGGUGAGGUAACGGCCCACCAAGGCGACGAUCAGUAGCCGGCCUGAGAGGGUGAACGGCCACAUUGGGACUGAGACACGGCCCAAACUCCUACGGGAGGCAGCAGUGGGGAAUAUUGCACAAUGGGGGAAACCCUGAUGCAGCGACGCCGCGUGAGUGAAGAAGUAUUUCGGUAUGUAAAGCUCUAUCAGCAGGGAAGAAAAUGACGGUACCUGACUAAGAAGCCCCGGCUAACUACGUG